GGUGACAGGGUCGGGUCGGUCAGUGGCCGCUCCACCUUUUAGGGGGACAUGGGCACCUGGAAGGUGACCAGGACGUGGUGGCCCUGAAGUGGUUAGAGACACUGACAUUAAGGGAAGGACGAGGGGCGCCAAGACAGCUAUCCAGGGCCUGAGCCCCGGCCGCCAGGUGGAGGGGGCGCGGGGUACAACCACCGCUUCGCUCCCUCAGCUUCGCCUCCGCGGCCUCGAAGGGAAAAAGAAUCCGACCCAGGGCCAACCUACCCCGGGAAGAGCCCUGCACCCGGCAAAGGGCCCGUUCUGGGGUCGGCUACGAGCCUACUUCACCCCUCUGCCUCCCAGAGAGGCUGCAAAAUGGCGGGGCAGCGCCCGCCUGUCCCCGCCGCCUCCUCCCCUCAGCGCCGCCGCUGCGCGGCCCUCCUCGCCUCGGUGCGGGUGUCCCCCAAAAAAUAACCCGUGAACGGCGAGCCGAGAGGGAAGGAGCAGCCUUCCCCUCCUCUUCGGGGAGCCACGAGCGGGUGAAAAGCGAUGAGGAUGCUCCACCUGCCGGGCAGAGCGAGCAGGCGGGCCGGGCGAGGGGGCUGCAAGGCCCCGGGAGUUUUCCUUGCAAACAAAUAAAGGUUUUUUUGGUGCCACGCGUGAUUCUGGCCCCACGGGUGGGGGAGCAGUUCAGGCCCUUCCUGCAGACCGCCUGGUUACCUCUUUUCCCGGUGCAAUCUGUAGCAACUCUGGAAAAGUCAGCGACUUUACACCAGUUGCCCUCAUGCUAGAUGAGAGCAGGGCGCUCCGCUUUGCACCAAGCUAACCCCGGAGCAAGCCGAGCAGAGAUCACAUAAAGACUUCUUCACAUCUACAGAGAUGCAGCCCAGCCCUCCGAGGGAUUGAAAACGCAUUAAAGUGUCAUUCUUCACAUCCUGGAGCAGGGCUGGAAGGGGAAGCUGCUGGGGGACGCCACCAGCCCCGUCAGCUCCGAUUCACGCCACCAGCUCCUGCCCUUGCUGACGGUCUCGCUGCUCGCCUGCACAGAAGUUGCGCUAACAAAAUUGUUUGCCUUUAUUUAUUGAUGUGCAGUAUUACACGGCAGAAAUGCACAGCCCAAGCUCGGAAGAGGCUAGAAGCUGAUACUUGCCUCCGACCAACUGUAGUAGCUAUGGGGUUGGGUUUUAUUCCCUGUCACUAAGGCAGAGGGUGGAUUUAAAGCUACCAAUAAACGCAAGAAAAUAAGCUAGAUGGGAAAGGUGAGGAGGGUAUAGAGUG